UUAAUUUUUGUAAAGGUAAUUUUUUAUACGAUCAGCUUAAUAAUUGCAGAAGAAUGCAAACAGCUUAUUAACCUGGGUUUUCAAUCGCCACCGCCCCUAUUAUCUUAAAUUUCGUUACUUCUUACACUUUCACCGCCGUCAUGUUAAGCAACCCCAUUAUCUUAUGCGAUACCCAGUCGUAAGUUGCGGAACGUGUUUUAAAAAAACAUAGUUCUGGGUCGUACCUUUUUUACCCAAAACAGCACGUAUGCCAAUUUUUCAAGGCAAAUGUGCGUGCUGGGUGCAUUCUAUUGCGGUGCCUUCUAGAAGUGUUUCAGAAUAAUGCAUCCAGAAGCAUGCCCAAACACCCGUUUCGGGAACGUAUUCCGAAAGAAAUAGUUCUGGGUCGUAUCUUUUUUACGCAAAGCAACACGCGUGCUGGGGGCAGUCUUUUGGGAAUGUAAAAAACCAAACUCAAACCCGAAGGUUGCCGAUGCCCAUUUUUUUACAAUCGUCUUUUUUCGGAACUGUUCUCUUGACAAACAAAUAAUAAAGACAAAAGGGAACAUGCAAGGAGGCGAGCGGUUUUUCUUGCCUCUUGCAUUUUUCAUCAGUUGCAUUUUUAGUUCUGAAAAGUAAAGUUCGUGCCACGUGUUUUGAAAAAGUUUGUUGCUUUCUGCCACCAAUUUUACAUCAAUAUUUUCACAGAAUCUCAAAAAAUAAAUGGGCACACCAAGGACUGAACUGCGUAAAUGACAAAAGUACAUAAACAAGAAGGAAGCACCAAAGCACCGUACAGCAGGGGAGUUACUCCGAUUAAAAAUUAGUUGCGUUCUUGAAUAUUGAAAUGAAAAUAAAUAUGAAAUUGAAAUCCAGUUUUAUGUAUUCCUGGGGAAAACUUCCAGAUAUUUGGUUUUUGAAUGCUUCUAGGUGCAUUCCUGGGUACAUGUUACAGGUGCAUUAAAAAAGAGUACACCCAGAAGGUGUUUAGUAUGUUGCUUCCAGGUGCAUUAAAAACGAGUGCACCCAGAAUGUGUUUAGUUUGUUACUUCCAGGUGCAUUCCAGAUAUAUGCUUCCAGAAGCAUGCAACGGGUGCAUUCUUUUUUGUCCCGCACCCGUGUAAAAAGAAUGGACAGACUCAUCCCUUCCGGAACACCUUUUUGAUGCCAUUUCAUAAUGAAAGAACGCAUGCUGGAAUGCUGUCAUUUACGACUGGGUACCUUUCGAUCGCUUAGAUCGGACCAUCACAGCAGAUAGUCUAUCCUGCGGCUAUAUAUAGUAGUCACCUUCAUACAUUCUCCAGGACUGCUUUUUCAGCUAACCUGUGUACAUACAUAU